rnacentral:rRNA from 1 species
AGUGAACGCUGGCGGUAGGCCUAACACAUGCAAGUCGAACGGCAGCACAGUAAGAGCUUGCCCUUCCGGUUGGUGAGUGGCGGACGCGUGCGGAAUACAUCGGAAUCUCCUUUUUCGUGGGGGAUAACGAAGGCAAACUUACGCUAAUACCGCAUACGACCUACGCGUGAAAGCAGUGGAUCUUCGUUCCUUGCGCGAUUGAAUGAGCCGAUGUCGGAUUAGCUAGUUGGCGGGGUAAAGGCCCACUAAGCCGACGCUCCGUAGCUGGUCUGCGAGGAUGAUCGGCCACGCUGCGACAGGGAGACGGUCCAGACUCCGACGGGGGGCAGCAGUGGGGAAUAUUGGGCAAUGGGAGCAAGCCUUAUCCAGCCAUACCGCGUGGGUUGAGAAGGCCAUCGGGUUGUAAAGUCGUUGUGCUGGGAAAGAAAAGCAGCUGGUUAAUGCGCAGAUGUACUGACGGUACCCAAAGAAUAAGCACCGGCUAACUUCGUG